rnacentral:other from 1 species
CAGCCCCUGCUGUGUUCGUGAAAGGCUGGUUUCGUUUUGGCCCAACACCAAAAUGAAGGGCGUCUGGUCUCUGUCAGUGGCUUGCGGGCCCUGUUUGACAGGGAGUCAUAAAGCUGACAGGAGGAUGCCCACCUGCUGUUCCGCAGGUUCAAAACAACCGGCUGCACACGACUCGGUGGGGUUAAC